ensembl:lncRNA LOC120097083 uncharacterized LOC120097083
GGCCUGUCGUGGGCAUGCGCAUGCGUGGCAGGGGAGGUCCAGGAACACAGUGUGGGGAGCCCCCGGGUGGACGCCGGGUCCUUUGCGGACGCUGUGCCGUUGUGAGGAUGCUUGGAGGUGCCGCCGCGGGGUCUCGGGGAGCCCGGCCUUCCAUACCAAUCUAUCACUAGCUGGAGCUGUCCCUUCCCAGCUGGUCAGGGACCCCUGGGUGACGGCCAGCUUCCCGUUAGAAUCACCUCGAGGGAGCAGGAGCUAGACUAGGCCUUAGAAAUGACGAUCCAGUCCUGCCACACUUGCUUUUGGAGUUGGAUGCAGAAGCGUGACCCUUGCUCUCAGCCUCGUGGAAGGCCCAGGAAAAUGAAAUCCAAGGUUAGUCACUUCAGAGUACUGUGAAAGAAAAAUUCAUGAUAACAGUUUUCAUUCUAUGUGGAAGAAGUGAUUAAUGGGUUCUUUAUAAUAAGAAUCGUGCUUCAUGGAAUAAAUCAUCUUGAAUUCUUAAGGCAAGAUGAUGUCAGAAUCACAAGCAAAGGAAUAACGGCUGAAAGUGCUCAAACCCAAGGAUCAGCAAGUCCAAUUUUAAAAACUUUCCACGCUUUAUUAAAGCUACACAUGUCCAGCUCCAUUUCACCCGCUUGUUUUUGCUGUCCCAGGGCUGAAAUAGCUUUGUGUACACCAAGCUGGCAUUUUACAACUGAGCUGUCCAAUCUCUAACAGUGUGUCUUAAAGUGUGUGUGUACGCUUGCAUGGACAGUCCGUUAUGGGGGCUUUCAAUAAUUAUCUUGACAAUAUGAGAACUUAUGCUUGCACACAUACCUAGUGAGUUCAUAGUUAGUGAGGUCAAAGUACCUACUAUUGGAGCAAGAUACAGGAAAGAUAAAAUUGGUCAUUUUAACCAUAUAGAUUUGCUGAUCAGACUGUGAACUGUGAUUGUGUUAUUUACCAAAAAGAAAAACUGUUUCAAGGUUUUGUGUGGCUCUGCCUUUGUGUGGCACACACCUUAAUCCCUCUGGCUGGAAUACAGACACAUCCUUAGUACACACUUUUAAUACCAAACAAUGAAGAUAAAGUUAGUUUGUAGAAGGAAGCAGCCAUGUUUGAAAGUGAUGUCUAGUUGAGUGGCAGACACGGUGAUGAAUCAGAGAAAGAUUUGACAGAAUAGGAUAUGCCCAGCUCUCAUGAGAAGAGAGGAAAGAAAAUCCACUUAAAAGAGCUUAAGUAAGCUCUCUUAAGCACACGCACAGAGAAAAAGAAGGCAGUUUUACCAGGAAAGUCAUACAGAGACAGGUUGCAGAGAGACACAGGAGAAGACAGAACAAGUCAGAGAAUGAGAAGGAGCCAGAAAAUUUAACAGAUUGCUAGAGUUAGUUUGAGGCCAAGCAGAGCAAAAAGUUAGAGGCCAAGAGAGAAGCCAGACUGAAGCAGUCAGCUUGGAGAGGAAUCUGAGCCAGAUAGCUGAGUUAAACCAGCCAGCCAGAGUUCAGAAAGAAUAGGAAAGGGUGAGUUAGUUAUUCAGCAGUAAGUCUAAGAGGCUGAAAACAUCCGGGGCCUAGAUAAGAUUUCACAGAGGCUGGAAGGUUCCAGGACUAAGCCUAGGCUAGCCUCCAGGCGACAAUUACCUCAGGCAAAUGAAAGGUACUGUUUCUGUAGUCUACAGUGCUGACGACACUCACAGCCAUGCAGCUGAUCCCUAGGGUAGUGACAGGCCAUAUCUUUUAAGUUCAGACUCCAUUUUAAAGAACCUGACCUAAGUUUGAACUCAAGUAAACUAACAGGCGGGUACCUAACAUUAGUUUCUGAGUUGCACCCCCUCCCCAAC